rnacentral:rRNA from 1 species
AACGAACGCUGGCGGCAGGCCUAACACAUGCAAGUCGAACGCUCGUAGCAAUACGGGAGUGGCAGACGGGUGCGUAACGCGUGGGAACAUACCCUUUGGUUCGGAAUAACUCAGGGAAACUUGAGCUAAUACCGGAUACGCCCGAGAGGGGAAAGAUUUAUUGCCGAAGGAUUGGCCCGCGUCUGAUUAGCUAGUUGGUGAGGUAACGGCUCACUAAGGCGACGAUCAGUAGCUGGUCUGAGAGGAUGAUCAGCCACACUGGGACUGAGACACGGCCCAGACUCCUACGGGAGGCAGCAGUGGGGAAUAUUGGACAAUGGGCGCAAGCCUGAUCCAGCCAUGCCGCGUGAGUGAUGACGGCCUUAGGGUUGUAAAGCUCUUUUGUCCGGAAGAAAAGCGCCGGGUUAAUACCCUGGUGUCCUGACGGUACCGGAAGAAUAAGCACCGGCUAACUUCGUGCCAGCAGCCGCGGUAAGCUGUA